rnacentral:rRNA from 1 species
UGAUCCCCCACACUGGUACUGAGACACGGACCAGACUUCUACGGAAGGCAGCAGUGAGGAAUAUUGGGCAAUGGAGGCAACUCUGACCCAGCCAUGCCGCGUGCAUGAUGACGGCCCUAUGGGUUGUAAACUGCUUUUCUGAGAGAAGAAUCCCCCCGAAUUUUCGGGGGUUGCCGGUAUCUCAGGAAUAAGCAUCGGCUAACUCCGUGCCAGCAGCCGCGGUAAUACGGAGGAUGCAAGCGUUAUCCGGAUUCAUUGGGUUUAAAGGGUGCGUAGGCGGGAAAGUAAGUCAGUGGUGAAAGCCUGCAGCUCAACUGUGGAACUGCCAUUGAUACUGCUUUUCUUGAGUUUGGUUGAGGUAGGCGGAAUGUGUAAUGUAGCGGUGAAAUGCUUAGAUAUUACACAGAACACCGAUUGCGAAGGCAGCUUACUAAACCGAUACUGACGCUGAUGCACGAAAGCGUGGGGAGCGAACAGGAUUAGAUACCCUGGUAGUCCACGCUGUAAACUAUGAUCACUCGCUGUUGGCAAUACAUCGUCAGCGGUUGAGCGAAAGCAUUAAGUGAUCCACCUGGGGAGUACGGUCGCAAGAUUGAAACUCAAAGGAAUUGACGGGGGCCCGCACAAGCGGUGGAACAUGUGGUUUAAUUCGAUGAUACGCGAGGAACCUUACCUGGGCUUAAAUGUAGACUGCAUUUCCGGGAAACCGGAAUUUCCUUCGGGACCGUCUACAAGGUGCUGCAUGGUUGUCGUCAGCUCGUGCCGUGAGGUGUCGGGUUAAGUCCCAUAACGAGCGCAACCCCUAUCGUUAGUUGCCAGCGAGUAAUGUCGGGGACUCUAGCGAAACUGCCGGUGUAAACCGAGAGGAAGGUGGGGAUGACGUCAAAUCAGCACGGCCCUUAUGUCCAGGGCUACACACGUGUUACAAUGGUCAGUACAAAGGGCAGCUACCUGGUGACAGGAUGCUAAUCUCGAAAACUGGUCUCAGUUCGGAUUGGAGUCUGCAAUUCGACUCCAUGAAGCUGGAAUCGCUAGUAAUCGCGCAUCAGCAACGGCGCGGUGAAUACGUUCCCGGGCCUUGUACACACCGCCCGUCAAGCCAUGGAAGCUGGGGGUGCAUGAAGUCCGUAACC